GAUGAACGCUGGCGGCGUGCUUAACACAUGCAAGUCGAACGAACCUUCGGGUUAGUGGCGGACGGGUGAGUAACGCGUGAGAAUCUGCCCUCAGGAGGGGGACAACAGCUGGAAACGGCUGCUAAUACCCCAUAUGCCGAGAGGUGAAAUGAAUUUCGCCUGAGGAUGAGCUCGCGUCUGAUUAGCUAGUUGGUGAGGUAAAGGCUCACCAAGGCAUCGAUCAGUAGCUGGUCUGAGAGGAUGAUCAGCCACACUGGGACUGAGACACGGCCCAGACUCCUACGGGAGGCAGCAGUGGGGAAUUUUCCGCAAUGGGCGAAAGCCUGACGGAGCAACGCCGCGUGAGGGAUGAAGGCCUCUGGGCUGUAAACCUCUUUUUCUCAAGGAAGAAGAUCUGACGGUACUUGAGGAAUAAGCCACGGCUAAUUCCGUG
rnacentral:rRNA from 1 species